CUGCCUCAUCGCAUCCUUUCCCCUACAGUCCCCACUACCUAUCUGCCAUUGCCUUCCUAGCUCCUCUCCUCUCUUCCCCAUCUUGCCUCACACCAUUAAACUCGACCCGGGUGCGGUGGCCGGCGGCGAGCCCCACCCACCCACGCCCGCGGAGGAGCGAGCGGGCAUGCAGCAGCACUAGGGGCAGGCAUGGGACCCUCGGUCGCACGAUCUUCACGGUCGGCAAGUGGAUCCGCAGCACAGGGCAGGCCAUGGAUCACCUCGGAUCUGCAUCCAGGGCGGCCUUCACGUCGAGGAGCAGCAUAAGUAUCCGCCUCCUUGCUCCAGCCUGGGAUGGGAUCGGGUCUUCAUCUAAUUAUUUAAUUUCAAUGUCGUGCGGAGCUAGCUGUAUUCAGCUCAUCGUGUUCAUCUAUUAGGAACUGUUAAUGUCAUGUCCAGUGGUGUCCGCAAUCAUCAGUAUGCUCGCUGUUGGGGUUGUUCCCAAGAGGGGGAAGAAUAAAACCAAAAUAGUGUUCCUAAAGAUUGGGUUAGCUGUGGAUGAUGGUAAUGUGAUUUGAACAAACCUGAGAUGAGCUUGGCCUUUAGACUGGACUACUAAUUUCCCUCUUUAUGUGUACCGUUUGUUUCCAUUGUCGUCACUUAUGUGAACUUUGCAUUGCAGUUUGUAUUUUUUUCCAUGAAAGUAAUGGUAAUUUGGUAAAUCAUGUAUGACAAGGAUUGGUUGCCACAAUCCUACUGUCUUCUGUUAAUAUGUCGUGCUGGCAUUUUCUGUUUGAAGUGAUUCUGUAUAUAGUUUCUCUUCCAUAGCAUCAUAAUAAUGUCAUUUCUUCAUGGUGUCACUAUGCUGCAACUGGGAAAUCACCAGGCUUCUGCGUGAUUUAUACACAAUGAUGAGGAAUAUGGGUUUCUGUUUUUUAGGGCUGUGCAGUUUCUUAGCUUAUUACUCUCAAAGGCUUGCUAACUACUUGCUGAUUUGGAUAAUUGGUUCCUUACUUUUGGUCUUCUCAUGUGCAACACUAAUAAAGAUGUUAUCUUUAUAUACAUGGGGAUCCCUAUUGGUGAGUUUGCCCUUUACACUGCCUUGGGAGGAGUUCAUCCAUCAGCUAGUAUAGGACUGUCUCUGGUGUGGCAGGGCCCUGGUUAUUUUGGACAAAGUAAAGGUCUUGAAAACUCCUAUCUCACUUGAUAUGCUUGGACCCAUCAUUAAUGGUUCUGGGAAACCUAUCGAUAGUGGUCCUCCAAUAUUGCAUGGGGCUUACUUUUAUAUUUCUGGAAGUUCAAUCAACCCCAGCGAGAGAACCUAUCCAGAAGAGAUGAUUCAAACAGGAAUAUCCACCACUGAUGUGAUGAACUCAAUUGCGCGAGGGCAAAAAAAUCCUCUUUUCUCUGCUGAUGGGCUUCCACACAAUGAGAUUGCUGCUCAGAUAUGUCGUCAAGCUGGUCUUGUUAAUUAGUUUUAUUUUUUGGAAGAUGUGUCACUUCUAAAAAUGUUCUAAGUUAUUGUUCCAUUGCUUUUGAAAUA